rnacentral:rRNA from 1 species
UACGAAGGGGGCUAGCGUUGUUCGGAAUUACUGGGCGUAAAGCGUGCGCAGGCGGCUUCUCAAGUCAGGGGUGAAAGCCCAGAGCUCAACUCUGGAAUUGCCUUUGAGACUGAGUGGCUUGAGUACGAGAGAGGUCAGUGGAAUUCCGAGUGUAGAGGUGAAAUUCGUAGAUAUUCGGAAGAACACCAGUGGCGAAGGCGGCUGACUGGACAUGUAUUGACGCUGAGGUGCGAAAGCGUGGGGAGCGAACAGG